GAUGAACGCUGGCGGCGUGCCUAAUACAUGCAAGUCGAGCGAACGGACGAGAAGCUUGCUUCUCUGAUGUUAGCGGCGGACGGGUGAGUAACACGUGGAUAACCUACCUAUAAGACUGGGAUAACUUCGGGAAACCGGAGCUAAUACCGGAUAAUAUUUUGAACCGCAUGGUUCAAAAGUGAAAGACGGUCUUGCUGUCACUUAUAGAUGGAUCCGCGCUGCAUUAGCUAGUUGGUAAGGUAACGGCUUACCAAGGCAACGAUGCAUAGCCGACCUGAGAGAGUGAUCGGUCACACUGGAACUGAGACACGGUCCAGACUCCUACGGGAGGCAGCAGUAGGGAAUCUUCCGCAAUGGGCGAAAGCCUGACGGAGCAACGCCGCGUGAGUGAUGAAGGUCUUCGGAUCGUAAAACUCUGUUAUUAGGGAAGAACAUAUGUGUAAGUAACUGUGCACAUCUUGACGGUACCUAAUCAGAAAGCCACGGCUAACUACGUG
rnacentral:rRNA from 1 species